AGCGGUAUCCACUGGUCACCACUGGAAAUGAAAACAGCCUGGGGUUAAGAAGGCAAUUGCAGCAGAUCGGAUCACCAGAGGUCUGAGACAAAAUGAGGUGCAGAAGAAACCAUCUCCUGAUCUUCACCAGUGACCCCUGCUAGAAGGUAUUGGCCUUAAGAACCAAAAAGAGCCCUAAAUAAGAUCACUGUACCAGAGCGGGGGUCUCACUGUGUCCCUGCAAUGAAUAUGGGAUACAGCUGGAGGUGAUGACUCUACCACAAGUCAGCGACAUGGUGGCCACCAUGUCAGGAUCAGAUGACCUGCACUUCAGCAAGAGGCAGAUUCCGGGCUCGGUCUCUGCACUCACCCACCGGACUUUCUGCAGUCAGACGUAUUCACUAAAGAAGUGAGUUUCCUGCUGCAUCAAAGGCAGAUUCCAGGCUUGGUCUCUG